AGAAGAGCAGAAAAUAAAUAACGUCAAAAUAAAAUUAUAUAUUUGAUGAGUUCAAAGAUUAUAACUUAUAAGCAACAGCCUCCGAUCACGAAAUGGUUUUCAAAGUUAGAUAAAAGAACCAGUGCAUUAACACGUAAAAUGCUACCUUAAAGACAUGCAAUGGUUGUAUCCAGAGCUUAGGUCAUAACACUGGAUAGAAGAGAACACGGGAGUAGUAUAGGUGAUAGCAUGAACACAACUUAUACUCAUUGAUCGUAGUAUCGACUUCAUCACUUGUUUUGAGUUAUAACGUCAAACUUGUCGUGGAAGUAUUAUUUAUACACUUAACACGUAUUUAUAAAUCUAAUUUUUCAAGUCUUAGCAAACUGUCAAACUAAAAGUAUAAUAAGUUGAAAGGUUAUAUAAAUUAUAAAUAACAACCAUCGACCACAAAAGGUUAUUCGAAGUUAGAUAAAAGAAUCAUUGCACAGGCCUUAAAUUCAACCUUAAUGAAAUACAUGCAAUGGUUGUAUGCAUAACAUUGUUUAGUCUUGCAAUAAAUAAUUAGAGCAAGACUUACUGCAAGAAGAGCGAUAUUCCUGGUGCAGAUUCUCACAUUUGACUUUCCUGACCUUCGUCCAUUGAUGUUCUAGUUCAUAUAUAUAGGAAGAUGAGAAUUUAGUAUUGUAAGCAUGUAAAAAAGAAGCGCACGUGAAAUAAAAUUUUAACUCACUGGUAUGGUAAGAAAUCUUUAGAAAUUUAAAAACUUAAAAAACAAUACCCACAAAAGUAAAAUUUAUAGUGUGGGGGUGGCAAAUAAUUUUAAUUAUUA
rnacentral:lncRNA from 1 species